CCUGCUCCGCCAUUUUCUUCACUUGCAUCCUGGCGUUGUUACAGUGGUUAUGGUUUUCGAACCAGAUAAUCUGUGGAUACGGCUUCUCCCAAUCUUCACUCCGUUUAUAAAACUGUUCCGAUCUAAUAGUCGAUGGAUGUUCGUUGCAGUGGCGCCCCCAAAUUGUCAAUUUUUGAACUGACAAAAUUCAAAGUUUGCAUCACCUUGUAUUGUGAAAUUACAAUUUCAUAAUUUUUUAUAAGUGUUUUCUAAUUGUUUAUUUUUAUUUUAUUAUUUCGUCUUACUGGCGAAAAUUUCAUAAAGGGAAAGAAAUGUUUCGUUUGUGGCAAGGGUAAUACUUUAAUCUUUUUGAGUUCUCCAGCGAUUUUAAAGAGCGUACUAAGUGGCUGGAAAUUAUUGAAGGAUUAUGGUACAGACAAAAUUGUAUCGCUCUUUUGACUUGUUAUUUACAGAUGUUUCAAAAUUAAAGGAUCAAUCAGUUAUUUGCAAAGAUCACUUUGAAGAAAAUUCGUUUUAUUUUACAAAAUUAUCUUGCCGGCUAAUCAAAUGAGUGUUACUACCUUCAGUUAAUAUCUUCAGUAUUUGUAAGUAUAAAUAAGAGUUAUCCAAUAAAAAAAAUGGUUACACAUAUUAAAGUAAAAUUACAAAUUA